GACGAACGCUGGCGGCGUGCUUAACACAUGCAAGUCGAGCGGUAAGGCCCUUUCGGGGGUACACGAGCGGCGAACGGGUGAGUAACACGUGGGUGACCUGCCCUCAGCUCUGGGAUAAGCCCGGGAAACUGGGUCUAAUACCGGAUAUGACUCCAUGACGCAUGUUGUGGGGUGGAAAGCCUUGUGCGGCUGAGGAUGGGCCCGCGGCCUAUCAGCUUGUUGGUGGGGUGAUGGCCUACCAAGGCGACGACGGGUAGCCGGCCUGAGAGGGCGACCGGCCACACUGGGACUGAGAUACGGCCCAGACUCCUACGGGAGGCAGCAGUGGGGAAUCUUGCGCAAUGGGCGAAAGCCUGACGCAGCGACGCCGCGUGAGGGAUGACGGCCUGU
rnacentral:rRNA from 1 species